UAGUCGCAGAGAAGCUUCCAAG
rnacentral:siRNA from 1 species